rnacentral:rRNA from 1 species
AUUGAACGCUGGCGGCAGGCCUAACACAUGCAAGUCGAGCGAGCGGCGGACGGGGGAGUAAUGUCUGGGAACCUGCCUGAUGGAGGGGGAUAACUACUGGAAACGGUAGCUAAUACCGCAUACCAUCAGAUUUGCCCAGAUGGGAUUAGCUAGUAGGUGGGGUAACGGCUCACCUAGGCGACGAUCCCUAGCUGGUCUGAGAGGAUGACCAGCCACACUGGAACUGAGACACGGUCCAGACUCCUACGGGAGGCAGCAGUGGGGAAUAUUGCACAAUGGGCGAAAGCCUGAUGGAGCCAUGCCGCGUGUGUGAAGAAGGCCUUCGGGUCGUAAAGCACUUUUAGCGGGGAGGCGUUACCCGCAGAAGAAGCACCGGCUAACUCCGUGCCAGCAGCCGCGGUAAUUC